rnacentral:SRP_RNA from 1 species
GUAGUAGGUAGGAUCCGGGGUGUUAGCCGUACCCCAUUCUGAAACCGGCUAUAUGCAGGGAUCAGUAACUGCUGGGUAAAUCCCUAGAUGGGUAAUACCUGCUUGGCACAUGGAAAUGAAUCUACGCCGGAGCGGGUGGUUGCAAGACAGGAUUCAUCCGAAGGGAUGACAUCCAAGUCUGAGCUGCCGAAAGGGACCAGGUCCGGGAGGGAGCAGUCCUAAGGCAGAGCAAUCACGCUUCUCCGUCAACGUAGUGGAUCUGGUGUGCCUUGAGAUGGGGUUAUCUGUCUAGGGCGGAACUAGCAGAGCUGCUAC